CCGCAGCAUGGUAUCCGCGUGAUCACCAAAGGCGCAAAAAACAUAACUUGAACCCUUGUGCGGGAUUACGGGCGAGACUCUCUGCUCUGUCCCUCCAUCCCCGGGUGUUAUACCAGGCAUGCCGGCCGGGCGACCCGUCGCCUGGUCGGUGCCAUAACAUACCGCGAGUGUGCAGGAUGUGACCCGAAAGAUGGUGAACUAUGCCUGAUCAGGUUGAAGUCAGGGGAAACCCUGAUGGAGGACCGAAGCAGUUCUGACGUGCAAAUCGAUUGUCAGAAUUGGGCAUAGGGGCGAAAGACCAAUCGAACCAUCUAGUAGCUGGUUCCUUCCGAAA
rnacentral:rRNA from 1 species